rnacentral:rRNA from 1 species
UGGGGAAUAUUGCGCAAUGGGCGGAAGCCUGACGCAGCGACGCCGCGUGCGGGAUGACGGCCUUCGGGUUGUAAACCGCUUUCAGCAGGGACGAAUCAAGACGGUACCUGCAGAAGAAGCGCCGGCUAACUACGUGCCAGCAGCCGCGGUAAUACGUAGGGCGCAAGCGUUGUCCGGAAUUAUUGGGCGUAAAGAGCUCGUAGGCGGCCUGUCGCGUCUGCUGUGAAAUCCCGGGGCUUAACCCCGGGCGUGCAGUGGAUACGGGCUGGCUAGAGGCAGGCAGGGGAGAACGGAAUUCCUGGUGUAGCGGUGAAAUGCGCAGAUAUCAGGAGGAACACCGGUGGCGAAGGCGGUUCUCUGGGCCUGUUCUGACGCUGAGGAGCGAAAGCGUGGGGAGCAAACAGGAUUAGAUACCCCCGUAGUCC